AAGUUUAGAUUAAUNAAACCAUGAGCCUUCAAAGCUCGAGAUAGAGCACGCGCCCUAACUUCUG
rnacentral:tRNA from 1 species